rnacentral:tRNA from 1 species
AAAAAGAUAAGCUAAUUAAAGCUCUUGGGUUCAUACCCCAAUCAUAAAGGAAAAUCCUUUUCUUUUUA